CUGGUUUAAAAUGUCAGGGGAUAGAUAAUGAGAAAAACAAACAAGAAAGAUAUGAAGUAAAUGUGUUCUAUAUCAGGGGCUUUAUAUGGAGUGCCAGAGAAGUCUGCCCUAAGGAAUCAACAUUUGAGAUAGGAUCUCAAUGGAAUGUGGAGUUCCAGAGGCAAAAGUAUUGAGAGUGGAGUGUUUCAGGAAUAGUGUUUAUAGCUAAAAGCAUAGUGUGUUCAAGAAACAGAAUGUUAGUGUUGCUGAGGAGGUGGUAUCAUAAAAUCAUGUUGGAGGGGUCAAACCCAAAUAUAUAAUAAAGCUUAUAUACUCUGUUAAGGAUUUAUACCCUAAGAUUCAUGGGCAGCUCUUGAAGAAUUACAAGAGGAAAAGUAUUGUGAAAAGUAAUCUUAGAAUAGUCAUGCUGUGAGUUUUUUCUUAAUAGUAAAAGAUAGUAUUUUCUGGAAAGGAAAAGUAAGUGAAGGGCAAACUAAAAUACAAAGUGCUUUUAUCUUCAACUACCCUGAAAUACAAAACCCAAGGCAUAGAUCACUACCAUCUAUACACAUAAUAUACAUCUUAUUUUGUUUGUUUGUUUGUUUGCUUGGGUUUUUUUAUGUUAAUAUAAAAAAAUCCAGAUUAUUAAUUUUGGUAAUGAUAAAAACGACAACAGGAUGGUAACAGUUAACAUCAUGUCUCUUUUCUGAGCAUCUUACAUGUGUUAUCUAGUUUACAGUGACUCUACAAAGUGAGUACUAUUGAUAUCUCAUUUUGAUACUGAGAAAACUAAGAGAUGAUAAAACUACUGUGACUGAAACCAAGCCACAUUAUUCUCCACUGUGCUGCACUUUCUUGAAGUACUCUAUAAGGCAGCAGUGAAUAAUAUAAGAACUGGAAUCUCUGGCUCAUGGGAAUGACUUAAUUAGUUGUCCUUUUAGAUUAAAAAAGAAAUGACAGCAUAAAGACCUUUUUAAUAUGAGAGCAAGUGUCAGGAGCUGCACAUAAGAGAGGAGCACGUACCCUUAGCCUUGAGCCAUGGAGGUGUGGAACUGGCUUCCACUGCUCACAAAAGCAGAUGGACCUCACCUCCAACAGCAGAGGAGUAAAGCUCUGGAAGUGGGCGUCACCCAAUGGGACUGGGCUACAGCCCCUGAAACCCAACCCUUGCCAAUUUAGGUAGAACUUUCUCUAGUGUCUUCCCCCGAAUAAAUAGGGCUUAAGGUGUGCUCUUGCUCUCUCUUGUCUGCCUCUCUUGCUUCCCUUUUGGGAGCUGGGGCCAAGGAGCUCUUCACUGGACCCCAAGAAAAAGGUACUUUCUGUGUCUGUGUGAUUAUUCAGUGCCAUCCCAAUUCACUUGGAGUGACCCUGACUGAUUUAGUUGUGUUUUGCAGCUGGCAAGAAGUUAAUAUUAGGGGCCUGGGAUUGUGGCUCAGCAGUAGAGUGCUCGCCUAGCAUGUGUCAGGCCCUGAAUUCUAUCCUCAGCACUACAUAAAAAUAAAUAGAAUAAAGGUAUUGUGUCCAACUACAACUAAAAGAUAAAUAUAAAAAAAAGAAGUUAAUAUUGAAUGAAAUCUUUUUCUGGCUAUAUAAUCAAUUCAGUAUUCUGUGACACAUAAGAGGUACAUAUCUAUUUAUAUGAUACGUAUUAUACAUAAAAUAUAUAGUUCUAUGUGGAAUCUGAGAUUGACACAAAUAUACAGUUUCUGCAUUCUGUGAACAUAAACCUAUUCAAAUUACUUUAUUCAAGGCAAUGAUAAAAUAAGAAAUGAACAGAACAAUAAUAAGCAUUAUAGAAAUUCAAAACAAGAAAAGAUGAUUAUUAGUUACUUUACCAAAAAAACAUGUAAACUUGACCUUUGUCAUUAAGUAAUGACUAUAGUACAACUAAGCUGAAGAGUAAGGAACCUCAUAAUCCAUUAAGAGGUGACUGCAUCAUCAAACACAUCAAGACAGAAAUGUGGAAGGCAUUUGGAAUCAAUGAGUAGACUCAUCUAAGGAGAUAAAACUAAAUUCUCAAAUGUAAUGGGAUAUGAGAGAAUGGGAAAAUGUGGUCAUAUAUUGGACCAAGAUGGCUUAAUUAAAGAUUUUCAAAUUUGUAACAAGAAACAAUUAUUGAGAGUUUUUGGAGCAGAGAAGUGGCAAAAUAAAAAUGUUCUUCUAAAAAUGUUUUCUUCUGAGAAAAUAAUAUUAUAGGCAGAAAUGAAGGAAGAAGACUUCAGUCAGAGGUCCUAACUAGAAUUAAUUGUAAUAAUCAAGACAUAGUGAUUCAAAUUGAAGCAGUCAUCUUGAAAUGGAACUGAAGGAAUAUAUUUGAGAUACCUAUCUCUUUUUGGCUGGGGGAGCAGGAAGGUUAUUGGAAAUUGAACCCCAGGGGAGCUUAACCACUGAGCCACAUCUUUUGGCCUCACUAAGUUGCUGAGGCUGGUCUCAAACUUGGCAUCCUCCUGCCUCUGCCUCCCAAGUCCUGGGAUUAGAGGCAUGCACCAUUGUGUCCUGCUUAAGAUAUAUUUUAAGGGAAGAAUCUGUAGAAUGUAUUUUCUCAUUAACCAUAGGGUUUAUAUUUAUCCUGUCAAGAGUAAAUGAAGCUUUAUUCAUUGUUUUUGAUAUCGGCUAGGUGGUGGAUUUUUAUCUCCCUGAUUUUUUACAUUAUGCCAGAAUUACAAAAAAAUUGUAAGAUGCAAUAGUGUAACAUUAUAUUAUUUAAAUUGAAAACCAUUUCAUGAUACUUUGUUAAAACUAUAACUAUAAAAUCUGCAAAGUAAAAAUUACAUCUAGUCAUAUCCAAAUCAGCAUAUGGUGCUUGAUCGCUGACUGGCAUUGAAGAAGUUCUCUUCAUGGAACUGUUGAAUUAUUGCCACUAUUAGCAGGUGUUGCAAUAAAAUGUGCACAAUAAUAUUAAGCCAGUAAAACCGAAAUGUAUUUUGUAGCACAACGGAAACUUUUGAAAGGCCUGUUAGUUCCCUUUAAAAAUGAGGCUAAGGAGCAGGGGUUGUGACUCAGUGGUAGAGCACUUGCCUAGCAUGCAUGACGCACUGGUUUUCAUCCCCAGCACCAUAUAUAUAUA
rnacentral:lncRNA from 1 species